GCAUAACAAAUACCUUAAAGUACAUGAAAAAUAGUAUUCUCGUAGUCCUACCGCGAUGACGUUGUACGGUUGGAUUGUGACGUCAGUGUUGUAAAUCUACCUCAGCUGCAUAGCUGCUGUAAAUUAAAACAAAGAUGGAUGCUAUCGAUUUAUUUUUGCUGUUUGAAGCCGAAAACAGAGCAUUUCAGAGAGAGAGAGUAUUUCGUGACCGCACUAAUCCUUUCGAUUUAUCACCAGAACUUUGUAUAAAAAGUUAUCGUGUAAACAAGCAUCUGAUGUUUAUCAUUAUAGAAACAUUAAGACCUGAUUUGCAAAAGAGACGACAGAUAUUAACAAC
rnacentral:lncRNA from 1 species